rnacentral:lncRNA from 1 species
ACUUUCCGUCGCCACACCGCCGCCGUCGCCGUCGUCAUCACCACUUCCCCUUUUCUUUCUCCUCAAACCUCUCUGACUCUAUUUGCAACUGUUUUCCUCACACAGCUCAUCUCUCUGCAAUUCUCUCUCACAAAGCUCUCUAUCUCACCUUUGUCAUGUGUAGUGGUCAUAACCUUCGGGGUCGACGCUGCCUGCGUUCAUGGCCGUCGUUGUCGCAUGUGUUUCGGUGGUGUGUUUGAGAUACCCGACGACGGUGGUGAUGGUCAGAUCCGAGGAUGAGACGGCUAGAGACGACAAUUGUGAGAUCUAACGGUGAGAACAGACGCUGAUAUGGAGGACGUAGGUGGUGGGCGGUGGUGUUGACUAUGGUC